AUACGUAGGUGGCGAGCGUUGUCCGGAAUUACUGGGUGUAAAGGGCGUGUAGGCGGGGAUGCAAGUCAGAUGUGAAAUGCCGGGGCUUAACUCCGGAGCUGCAUCUGAAACUGUGUUUCUUGAGGGUCGGAGAGGAAAGCGGAAUUCCCAGUGUAGCGGUGAAAUGCGUAGAUAUUGGGGGGAACAACAGUGGCGAAGGCGGCUUUCUGGACGAUAACUGACGCUGAGGCGCGAAAGCGUGGGGAGCAAACAGGAUUAGAUACCCUGGUAGUCCACGCUGUAAACGAUGGAUACUAGGUGUAGGAGGUAUCGACCCCUUCUGUGCCGGAGUUAACACAAUAAGUAUCCCACCUGGGGAGUACGGCCGCAAGGUUGA
rnacentral:rRNA from 1 species